rnacentral:lncRNA from 1 species
AAUAUUGGGAUAAAGGGGAAAAAAAUGGGAUAAGGGGGAAAAAUCCCAAAAUGGGAUAGAAAAUUUCAGGAUGAGGGGGAGAAAUCCCAAAAUGAGACAAAAAACUUUGGGAUGAGAAGGAAAAAUCAUAAAAUUAUACAGAAAACUUUGGGAUGAGAGGGGAAAAUAUUGGGAUGAGGGGGAAAAAAAUUGGGAUAAAGAGGAAAAAUUGGGAUAAGGGGGAGAAAUCCCAAAAUGAGACAAAAACCAUUGGGAUAAAUGUGAAAAAUACAAAAACACGGCGCAAAAACACCAAAAUAAACGGAAAAACCACCGGAACGAGGCGAGGAACGCCCAAAUUUCGGCGAUUUCGGCUCACAAGGAGAAGAAAUCCAGAUCUUUGUGUCCGUAGGGGUUGGACGUCCAAACCACGUCGGUCCUGCCGGAAUCCGCCAACAUUCCGGCGAAUUCGGCUGGAAAAACAUCGGGAUCAGGGGGAGAAAUCCCAAAAUGAGAUAAAAAACGUUGGGAUGAGGGGGAAAAAUCCUAAAAUUAUACAGAAAAUUUUGGGAUAAGGGGAAAAAAUUGGGAUAAGGGGGAAAAAUCCGAAAAUGGGAU